rnacentral:misc_RNA from 1 species
UUUCCGUAGGUGAACCUGCGGAAGGAUCAUUAAAGAGUAAGGGUCUUCGGGCCCGAUCUCCAACCCUUCGUUUAACUACCAUGUUGCUUUGGCGGGCCCGUCUCACGACCGCCGGAAGUUUGGCUUCGACCAAACUUCCGGCCCGUGCCCGUCAGUGGCCCCUUCAAAUUCUUGAUCAAGUAUGAUGUCUUAGUUAAAAACUUAAUAGUUAAAACUUUCAACAACGGAUCUCUUGGUUCUG